AUUAUCAGGGUGGGGAGGCGGCUGAGCUGAAACAGAAAGUAAAGUUGUUCUUUUGUUCAGGAUCCAUUUUGAGACGACAGAGCAGAAAAGACUACAUGGAGAUUAUUGAAAAAUAAAGGGUCAGUGCUCUAAAAUGAGUCUCUCCGGGAAGAGAGAGGAGGGGGGCCCUGCCUCUAAAAUUCAUCUCUCUGAGGGACAUGACACCAAAGCUAAGAGCGCCUGGCCCGGGAUUCGAACCAGCCACCUUUCGGUCACAGCUCCAACUCCAACAUGAGUUAAUCUUCAGAAAUAAGCAUGAGUUAAUCUGCCAAAAUGAAGACAAAAUGCUCUGCAGACACACAUGGUAUCACUUGUUAUACAUAAUUAUUAUACAUAAAUCAUUGCCAAAAGCACAAGACAUACUGUUGCAUGUAGAUCUAUAUUAUUAAUGGAUUGAUCACAUAGAAAUAUAAAAAAACAUUAUUUUUAACAAUUACAUGUGGCUCAGGAACCACUGACUCACUGCAUUAUUCUAUAGUAUUAUCAAGACACCUGCUGUUAAC